rnacentral:rRNA from 1 species
AACGAACGCUGGCGGCACGUUUUAAGCAUGCAAGUCGAACGGCAGUGGGGGCAACCCCCUGAGAGUGGCGAACGGGUGAGUACCACGUAGGUCAUCUGCCUUCGGGCUGGGGAUAGCUUGUGGAAACACAGGGUAAUACCGAAUGAGCUGACGAGGCUUUGGCCAUGUUAGUAAAGGUGCUACGGCACCGCCUAGCGAGGAGCAUGCGGCUGGUUAGCUAGUUGGUGAGGUAAAGGCCUACCAAGGCGACGACCAGUAGCCGGCCUGAGAGGGUGCACGGCCACACUGGGACUGAGACACGGUCCAGACUCCUACGGGAGGCAGCAGCUAAGAAUCUUCCGCAAUGGGCGAAAGCCUGACGGAGCGAUGCCGCGCGAUCGAUGAAGGUCGAGAGAUUGUAAAGAUCUUUUCCAACUGAGGAAUAAGGGGACCAGGGAAUGGGUUCAUGAUGACGUUAAGUUGGGAAUAAGCCCCGGCUAAUUACGUGCCAGCCGCCGCCGUAA